rnacentral:rRNA from 1 species
AACGUAGGAGACAAACGUUAUCCGGAGUUACUGGGCGUAAAGGGCGUGUAGGUGGUUGCGUAAGUCUGGCGUGAAAUUUUUCGGCUUAACCGGGAAAGGUCGUCGGAUACUGCGUAGCUAGAGGACGGUAGAGGCGUGUGGAAUUCCGGGUGUAGUGGUGAAAUGCGUAGAGAUCCGGAGGAACCCCAGUGGCGAAGGCGACACGCUGGGCCGUACCUGACACUGAUGCGCGACAGCAUGGGGAGCAAACAGG